rnacentral:lncRNA from 1 species
AUGUUAAGAGGGUAUUUACCCUUUUACACUAACUCAGAACAGUGUCUGGGGUGCAGUAACCACCCGAACGUGUUGGCCACUCUCGUUACCGGGGCUCACCCGACGCACCGUGGACUCCAGUGCCAGCCAAAGGCGACGAUAAGUGGGGCUGCUGGGCUGGUGGUGCAGACGCCGGCACCACGGGGUCCGGGGAGGACUCCACUACAGCAAACUGCCAAGUCCCGAAGGAGAGGCUCCUCCCUGACCCGCCCAGGCCACCCCAGCAGGCCUGAGGCCAGAGGCCGGGAAUCAGCGCUGUUUGAAUACCCACUGUGUGCCAGGAUGAAGAGAACAAGGAUGAAGACAGAGGUCGCAGCAGGGACUGACAUUCAACGAACACGCAACAGGCCUUCGUCAUCCGGGUCAGCAAACCACGGCCGGGGCCAGUUCCGGCUCGCGGCCUGUUUUUAUCCUGCCAGCCAAGAGUGGUUUUCGCAUUUUUAAACGGUUGAAAAAAAUCAGAAAAAGAAGACUCUCCCGUGACACAUGAAAAGUAUAUGAAAUGCAAAUUCCAGUGCCCAUAAAU